AUCAACCCAAGCCAUAACUGUUCUGUGUGUCAUUAUCUCCUGCAUUGUACUGAUGGUUCAUGUUGAACUUGUGAUCACUAUAAGCAAGAGAACCUUUCUGAUAUGAACAAGAAUCCUUAGGCCUAGACUUCAUAAGUAUGCCACUUGGGACUUGUAAUCAAGGAUUUUCUAUUUAAUUUACUCAAAAUGUUACUUAGGACAAAAUCAAAGGCAAAAUCAGAGAUCUCCUUCCAGGUCCAUAUCCUCUUCUACUUAAUAAUUGGCAAUCUUAAAGAUUAGCUGCUCCGCCAAAAUAUGAUUUAUCCCAACAUUCCAGCACUCAAUCAGACUAAAAGAAUAUCA
rnacentral:lncRNA from 1 species